CCCACCUUUCUCCCGAAUCUGUCCUACCAACUCACGCAUAGUCUUCUCUCCCCUCUCCCCUCUCCCCUCUCCGUGAAUCUCUCCUUCGAACUCCUCUCCGUCCAACCCCUCUUCCACAAACCCCUCUCCACGAAUCUCUCCUCCGAACACCUUCAAACAGUGAGCUUUUUUAGCACCAGUCGCGCCUUGCCUUGAAAGCCUUCACUGUCGCUCGAAGCGAGCAGUAGUACGAUGUCGAUCUCAACCUCUAUGCGUUUCCACCUUGUCCAUGUGCGGAUCGUGGCAGGAGAUCGAUACCUUGGUUGCUGAUCUAAUGGAGGAGGGAUGACUCUCCACAGAGACCUCCAAGGGGGUUCCCUAAUGGCCGAUUGAUGGCGAGGAGGAGAGCUAAUCGGCGAGCCGAUCAGCGGUGGCGUAGAAGGUCAAGAUUGGAUUUUACUUCGCCGCGUGGUGAGCGCUGAACAUGGUGUUCAACAUCUACAACAAGAAGGUUCUUAACGCCUUCCCCUACCCUUGGCUGACCUCCACACUCCCCCUUGCUGCCGGCUAGCUCCCUCAUGUUUUAGGUCCGUUACGCAUGGCUUGCUUCCUCCAAGGAUGCGGUGGACGAGAUGAUGUCUCAUGGGGUUCUGAAGCAACCUGUGCAGAAAUGACUUUAUGGAAAUGGACUUCAACUUGCCCUUACAAAUUGCUCUGAUAUCUGGUACCUCUCAAUGAUUAUGUAGGAUGCUUAGUAGAAGAUCGAUGUUGAGGAAUUGUUAUACAUGAUCACAUGGCUAUGAAUUCUACAUAAGACAACACAAAAUCUUUGUACAAAGUGAGCAGAAAUGCGAAAUACAAUGAACAGUCAUUUGAAGUGCCUUUUCAGAUAUUUUAAGGGUGAAUGGAGAUAUUCAGAAACUCCAACUAAAUAGCUCGAGUAUAGAUGAUUACAGGAGCAACAACGUACUACAUGCUAUAUGACACUGCAUAUGAACUCCAAGGAUGUGAUUGGAAAGUAUUUUGAUGAAAACUAUCAAGAAGGCUUUGGGAUUUAAGCGAGAAAAUGGUGGUGUCUCUGCUAGCUUUCAAAUGCUAAAACCCACUAUGCUGGUUCUUAUCACAAUGGUCCUUCUUGUUCGGUUUACUCUUUCAAGAAGGUCAGAGAAUUACAGUCAAUGGGUGAUUACUUUCUCUCCCAGCAUCGUUUUGUACAAUUGUUUUGCUAUCAUUUUGUUUUGGAUGCUUCAAUGACAUUCCUUGGCUUGACUAACAUGCUUUGGACAGGAUAUAGGCAAGGGAUUGAAUUUGAAAACUCGAACCCACAGGCCUGAGUAGAUGUGAGUUCGUAUGGGUGGAUAUGCUUUGUUUCCCAUACACCAUUGCAAUAAACUCAUAGACAUGCAUCCACAAAAAUAACUGCCAUUCUUUCUUCCAUUGACAGGGUUCAACAGGAAUCAAAUUCCAUUAGAUAUCCAUUGACAGUGAUGUGGCAGGAUAGAUAAUGUGGUAGAAGAAUUGCAGGAGAUUAGUGUUUGUGCCAAUUGACGCUAGGAAAAUGCCAAUUGUUUCUUAGAUAUUUGCUAUCUACAUAAGCCUUGUGAAGAAUGCAGUUUAGAAACUGCAUGCAUUUUAGAAUGUAUAUUAGAAACUGCAUUUAUUUUAGAAUGUAGUUUGAAGAAACGUUGCCUUUCUCCAAGCCAAGCUUUUUUUUCUGCAGUUUGAAGAAACGUUAUAUUUCUGCAACAACAGUACUUUUUGCAAGAAAGUGUUUGCAGAGAAGAAAGCGUUUCAUUUUUGCAAUCCUUCUUUCUGCAGUUUGAAGAAACGUUGCAUUUCUGCAAGCUUUCUUUUUUUCUUUCUGCAAGCAUUUCAUUUCUGAGUAAUGAGUUUGGUUCAUUUAUAGAAAAUAGCUAGUAGAAGUAAUUUUUUGGUUCAAA